ensembl:snoRNA
UUCAUGAAUGCUUUUAUGAUGAAACCAUGUGCUUCUGAGCUGCCAUGAUUCUGGCUUCAAAGUAAAUGCUCUGAAGAGUUGGGGAAAAGA